rnacentral:rRNA from 1 species
CGACGUCAAGUCAUCAUGGCCCUUAUGCCCAGGGCGACACACGUGCUACAAUGGCAUAUACAAUGAGACGCAAUACCGCGAGGUGGAGCAAAUCUAUAAAAUAUGUCCCAGUUCGGAUUGUUCUCUGCAACUCGAGAGCAUGAAGCCGGAAUCGCUAGUAAUCGUAGAUCAGCCAUGCUACGGUGAAUACGUUCCCGGGUCUUGUACUCACCGCCCGUCACACCAUGGGAGUUGAUUUCACUCGAAGCCGGAAUACUAAACUAGUUACCGUCCACAGUGGAAUCAGCGACUGGGGUGAAGUCGUAACAAGGUAACCGUAGGAGAACCUGCGGUUGGAUCACCUCCUUUCUAG